rnacentral:rRNA from 1 species
AAUGUGCGAAAGCGCGAACCAGCAACGCCGCGUGUGCGAUGAAGGCCUUCGGGUCGUAAAGCACUUUUUGCAGGGAAGAGGAAGGACGGUACCUGUAGAAUAAGUCUCGGCUAACUACGUGCCAGCAGCCGCGGUAAAACGUAGGAGACGAGCGUUAUUCGGAUUUACUGGGCGUAAAGCGCGUGCAGGCGGCAUGGCAAGUUGGAUGUGAAAGCUCCCGGCUUAACUGGGAGAGGUCGUUCAA